CUGAAAUCUGAUACGAGUUGAAAAUAAAAGUGGGGCUAAAGUUUUAUUUAGAAUGGAUGAAUUUUAUAAUAACUAUUAGUAAUUUCAUUGACAUCAGUCAAGUGAAAUGUAUAUUGUAAUGAAUAAUAACACACCUAUUUUCAGAAUGAUGGGAAAUAAGUUACAACUAAGAGGACAGCUGAAUUUAUUUAGUUUUGUUUUGUUUUUCAUCAAGCAUGUGUUUCUAGAGCAAACUAUCAGCGCUGCUAUUGCAUAAUUAGGCCAAACAAGCCCACCCCACAAAAAAUUGCCACUUUUUGAUGUCUUAUGUAGUAUGUAGGUCAUGUACUGCAGAUGCAUAGCACAGAAUCAUAGCAUAACUGGUAGGUGCAAGAGGGGGAGUACUACAAAGAAGAUCAGACGUGGGAGGGUUGUCUUCAAGGACAAGCGAGAUGCCUCAUGAAUCUCUAGCAGUGUUCUGGCACACUGUAGACUAUCAACAAUGCAUGGAUGCUAAAAAAUGAUCCAGAUGUUGUUUAUGUUUGUACAGCUGGACCUGCAGAGUAAACUGAAUCGAGUGAUCCGCUGAAUGAUCAACAUGAAUAUGCAUGUUGUACGGGGGCAUAUGGAGGGAAAGAGACAAACACCCAUGUAUGAUGUGGAUGUAUUGUGAGCCAGGGGCCCAGAAGAGAACUGCCAUGAUAUAAUCAUCUCUUCAUGGGAGUCUUUGGCUAAAAAUCUUCCCUGUGACUCACAAAGAAGAUGUAAAAAAAAAAAAAAAAAACCAACAGAAACAAAAAAAAAACCAUCUGCUAGUCCCUCUGCUCCAGCUGUUCUUUCUCUCUACUUCCUCCAUUGACCACUAACCACCUCAGCCUUCCAGCUUUGUUAAUCUUUUAAGCAUGAAUCUGCAUGAUUCUACAACUAAGUAUUCAGACAACAAUUUGAAAUAGUUUCUGGCAGGAUAUGUGGACAUUACUGAGCAGACCUCAUGUCAUAAAUCAUUCCCUCCAUGAUGUUCUGAAACUUUUAAAUAGACAGUUUUGCCUUUUUUUCACCAGAGUUUAAGCUGAGUGUUGUAGUUGUAGAAACCUUCAGUACUUUGCAAUAUUCUUAAGUUCAAGUCAGGCAGCAUUUCAUAUAAGCAAGAGUUCAAAAUAUGCCUAAUCCUAAAUAUACACGUGAAUCAGGGUGAAUAUGCUUCUUCCAUAAUUCUGAUAUAACAUAACUGUAGCUGGUUAUGUCACUGAUUCAGCCUUUUUGUCUUGUUUCUUUCUCAUUUUUUAAUAAAACGUUUCUACUCUAUUAUGGGUCUUGCUGUUUAGUAAGAUUCAUAUACUUUUAGUUAAGCUGUUUUCACACAUGUGCUCCAGAAAAUAUUGAGAGAAUUACCGAAGGACAUUUUCUACAAUUGCCACAUGUAGCACGCAAAAGGGGAAUAGUCGGUGUCAGAUGCAUUCUUAUUACCGGAUAGACGAGAGUGCUGCCUUGGCGGAGUGUGCAGAAAGCACACUUGCUGUGAAUUCACUGGGCAAUUAUCUGCUCUAGUCUCAAAUGGGUGCAUUCAGAUGUUACAUGGUGUUUUUACUAGAGAGCUGGCAGGGUAAAGACCGUUAAACGUCCAGAAUGACAUUUGCUUUCUCACAUAGAGCUCUGCUAGUUAAUGCUGAGGAAAGUUUACGCCCACGGUGCAAGUGUGAAAACAGCUGUAGUGAGUUUCUAAGAAAAAGAGCAAAAAAAAAGGAUUUUAUUCCAUUUUAAAUUUUUUAAACAAUAUUUGUUGUACUAGAGAAGUUCUGAAUGUGUCAAAGUGAUGAAUAAGAAUGAAAGACAAGAAAACUAAAAAAAAAACACAUUAUAGGUGAUACAUUGUUUCUCUUUUCAUUUGAUUGUAGAUAGAUUAGUCGUAUAGGGACGAUUACAAAAGUUAACUAACAACAGAUUUACAUUUUCUAUCUGACGUGUCGCAUCAUACACAAAAAUAUUGAACUUCCUCAAUUUUCAUUUUCACAGUGUAGUUUGAGCCUGUCUCCUUACGUUGUACUAAGCCAGGGGGUCUGGAGGAGGUGUGUGCUCACACCUCUUUUUUUUUUUUUAACUGAGGUACUCACAGAGUGGGGUGAGGCCAGAGUGGGGGACAUGUACAACUCUCAGACACAAUGAACCGUAUUUUUAAAAACACAAUCAAAUAUCAAAUGUCAGUUUAACUGUCUGUAAGAAGAUUUGCUUAUUACAAGCUAUCAUCUCUUCGGGCUCAUUUCCCUAAAAGUUGACCGUUCAAAUAAUAACUGUGUUCACUCAUUGCACAAAGUGCAAAUUGAAUAAUUUAAUAUGAAAACAAAGGAAUAAUAUAGAGCAAGUAUAUCCAAAUGUAUUUAUCUUUGCCAGGGUACAAAGGGAUAUCAGGUACAGGCAAGGCAAUUUAGGAAUAUUAUUGUUUUUAUAUAUUUUUUGGUAGUAACUUUUAAUGCUGCUUUUGUGAGCUUCUUUGAGGGCAUUUUUUGUUGCAUAUUUGUAGUUUAGUGUACGUGAUGUUGUUUUGAUGGUGUACAUAUUAAUAUAUAAAUAAUAAAACUAGAAUACUUCUCUUGACCUCAAAAGUAGCGCUGUUGCACUACGAAUAAGCCCAGGACUUUCAUGACUCAGAAACAAGGAGCUUAUUAACACCACUUAUUAGGGUGCUAAUUGAUCAAAUGUAACUGUAUGUGGUAAAAGUAUUGGAUUAUGAGAAGAAGAGCGCAGUGUUAAUUAUAGUCACAGCAUUAAAGUGCAGACUCUGCAAGUUCAGAAAUCUGCUGAACCCAUACGUGGAGCGUGAAAAGCAUUAAGCAGAUGCCAGCACUUUGAAUCUGAAUCUAAAUGUGAUCGGAGCACUCCCUUCAGUAAUGCAGUGAAGGUAGAAGAUUUCAGGAAGUAUCAGUCUUCACAUUUAGAGUCAGUGAAAUUGAACCUCUCUUCCUCUCUUUUACUGUUGCACCAGGCUUCCCAGACAUAAACACAUCUGUCUGGCUGUCUGUCAGGCUAACGAUGUCACGUAAUAAGCGAUUUCUCGCUGUGAAGAACGUUUUAUAUCUUUAAUUCAUGCCUGAACCAAUUUGAACAGUGUUUAAAAUGAUUUUUUAAAAAUUGCACAUACGAUGAGCUCUUUGUGUGCCUUCUGCAUUGUAAAAGAUAAACAUGACUGUUGAUGAAUGAAAUAAUGGCAUUCCACUAGUAUUACAAAUUACACUGACACCCAUGAUACAAUACCUUGAAUUUCUCGUUGGGUGGGGCUCAGCCUUUUGGUUUCAGAGCAGGUUUUCAGUUAAAAACAAAGAAACAAACAAAAAAAGCAACAAAAAAAACAUGCAUUUACUGUAAAAUGAACUGCUUUAUACUUUGUGUUUUUUCUACAGUAGACUUUUUUGAUAUUUUCUGUAUUCACUGUGACUGAAUGGCACAGGAGGUGCUUGUGCUCAGUAUUGUAAACGUGAGUAAUUCUCAUGCGUACACAGCUCAGUUUUUUUUUACUUUUCUCUUUCUCGCUUAUUUGCCAGUCAGAUUGUACAGUAUGCUUUGAGAGUCACAUCAAACGUUAGCCACUUCCAUCCCAUUUAAUGGAUCAAAGACAGUAUGGGUGAGAAUGGUCUUGCUUUGUUUUCAAGUCUAGUCAAUCGUCAGAUUUUGAUGUUGCUUAUUUGGCUUAAAUGUUCUGCCUGAUCAUGCUAGUUUGAAUAAAGCUUUUUAAUCUGUCUUUCUAUUGUGUCUCUAAUGAAGAAUGAAGCUGAAGUGAUCAGAAGUGACUUCUUGAAUGUGAUGUUCUCUCUUCCCCCUCUUCCUUGCUCUCUCAAAUUCCCUCACAUACACACAUUUUGACCCAGUUUCUCUUUAUAACGCUCUGUACUAAUUCUUGGAAAUUGAAAACUAAAUAAAGGAGAUGC
ensembl:lncRNA